UACGUAGGGGGCAAGCGUUGUCCGGAUUUAUUGGGCGUAAAGAGCGUGUAGGCGGCUUGGUAGGUCCGCUGUGAAAACUCGAGGCUCAACCUCGAGAUGUCGGCGGAAACCACUUGGCUAGAGUCCGGAAGAGGAGAGUGGAAUUCCUGGUGUAGCGGUGAAAUGCGCAGAUAUCAGGAAGAACACCUAUGGCGAAGGCAGCUCUCUGGGACGGUACUGACGCUGAGACGCGAAAGCGUGGGGGAGCGAACAGG
rnacentral:rRNA from 1 species